ACGAUUGAAGCGGCUACAGGACAUGAUAUGAAAACUUUGUUGCAAUGGAAGGAAAUCACUUUAAAAUGAACAGACACCAUUUUGCCAUGAAAAAAACUUCCAAAUGUGACAUGCUCGACAGGACAUCCAACAGAGAAGAACAUCAUCACGUCAGAAAAGGAGGAAGGUGCUGACAAUGCGAGUAUCCCACAGGGUUAAAGUGUCCACACUCAGAUCCUCAUUAAAACAGUCCAAUGACCUCCACCAGUCUGAUGUCCCUGUUUCACCAUCAGUACAGUAAUGUUAGACUGAUCUGGUCUAUAAUCACUCUUACCUGUUACUGCUAAUACUACACACACAUUGAACAUUAUUACUGACUGUAGCAGGGUUGGACAUCAACUGUUUUGGCCUACCUGCCUCUGUGACCGGUAAUUUGAGUCACCCACCAGUAUUUGGUGGACAACAGGAGCUAAUUUCCAACCCUGCAAUUUAGCCAUAAAUCUAUCUUAUUCAUUGUUGUUGUUGCUCUGUUUGUCUUUAUUCCAGGUUCAGCGGAUGGCUGUUCUACACGAGUCGGGUUUUGCUCGAGGUUUCUGCCUCAAGAAAUGAAAACACAGGGAUUUCUUGGCUUUGCAGUUUGCCCCAAGUGGACACUUGAGGAACUUCAUGGUAGGCAUUUCUUUUUUUGAAGACUUGAAUUAUUUAAUAUUUGACCUCAAAGAUGCCCUGCAUGAACAAACACAACUU